rnacentral:tRNA from 1 species
CGGGAUAUAGUGUAACGGUAGCACGAGUCCAUGGGGUGGAUUUAGUUUGGGUUCAAAUCCCAAUAUCCCGA